GUAAGAGCCAGAAGUAGCCACACGGUGUCAGUCUCUACCCAGCUGCUGCUCCUCCGGCCGCCCGGCUCCGCACGCGGCGAUGCUGGCGAAAGCUUUGCUGUCUGCUUCAGGUGCCAAACUGAAGACCUGAAGGAGAAUUAUCUCAUACAACAUCAAGCAGGAUGCCCACUGCAGGCAGGGGAGAAGCGAAUCCCAUUUCAUCCACCAGAGCAUGAGGGGAUGUUUGAAGGUUUUUAAUAAGAUUUUAGUUUCUGCAAAUAUUUCUGGAAUCAGAAGUGUGUGUCCCAAAGGCAGCCUCUCUUCCAGUAGUGCCACGUGUGAGCACAGUGAAGCAGUGGUCACCUAUCCGCAGACUCCCACCUGCUCAGAGGCACCAUAUCCUCUGCGGAACAAUGUCUUAAAGCCACUUCUCCCCGUCCCCAUUGAAAAACCUGACCUGAGUGCCACGAUCUUGCUGCAAAGCUGAGAAGGCAGGCAGAAAACACAAGGAAAUAACUGGUUUUGUUAUUAAAAUCCGCAGUACGGAGCAUGGGACAAAGCAAUUUCAAUUCCCCAAUUCUCUAAUUCCAGAGAGCUUUUCUUUGUAACCGAAAUACAACUUUUUAAUAUAGUCUUUG
rnacentral:lncRNA from 7 species